rnacentral:lncRNA from 1 species
GCUGCCACACUGGAUUUGCUGAAAGAGCUUAAGAAUAUUCCUAUGACCCUGGAAUUGCUAUAAUCCACGAGAAUUGGAAUGUCUGUCAUUGCUCUUCGCAAGCAGAGUACAGAUGAAGAAGUCACAUUUCUAGCCAAAUCUCUCAUCAAAUCCUGGAGAAAAUUAUUAGAUGGACCGUCAACUGAUAAAGACCCAGAAGAAAGAAAAAAGAACCUACAAUUUCAUCACAGAAUAGCCCUGAAGCUAGAGAAGAAAGUAGUUCCAGCAGCAAUGUAAGCAGCAGAAAGGAUGAGACAAAUGCUCGAGAUACUUAUGUUUCAUCUUUUCCUCGGGCACCAAGCACUUCUGAUUCUGUGUGAUUAAAGUGUAGGGAGAUGCUUGCUACAGCUCUCCAGACAAGAGAUAAUUAUGUUGCUAUUGGAGCUGAUGAAGAAGAAGUGGGAUCUCAGAUUGAGGAAGCUAUAUAUCAAGGAAUAAGGAAUACAGACAUGAAAUACAAAAACGGAGUAUGAAGUAGGAUAUCAAAUCUUAAAGAUGCAAAGAAUCCAAAUUUAAGGAAAAAUGUGCUGUGUGGGAAUGUUCCUCCUAACCUAUUUGCUAGAAUGACAGCAGAGGAAAUGGCUAGUAAUGAGCUCAAAGAGAUGAGGAAAAACCUGACCAAAGAAGCCAUCAAGGAAGCAUCAGAUGGCCAAGACUGCUGGGACCCAGACUGACUUGUUCACUUGUGGCAAAUGUAAAAAGAACUGCACUUGCAGGCCCAAACGUGUAGUGCUGAUGAACAUUUAUUGUGUGUAAUGAAUGUGGAAAUCAGUGGAAGCUCUGUUGA